UUUAUGGAGAGUUUGAUCCUGGCUCAGGACGAACGCUGGCGGCGUGCCUAAUACAUGCAAGUCGAGCGGAUCUUAAGGAGCUUGCUCCUAAAGGUUAGCGGCGGACGGGUGAGUAACACGUGGGCAACCUGCCCUAUAGUUGGGGAUAACUCCGGGAAACCGGAGCUAAUA
rnacentral:rRNA from 1 species